GAGCGCUAUUGCAUAAACAUAAGAUUUACGCCACCGGAGUAGAUCUUAACUUUUUUACGAAACGGCCAUACUCUACGAAACACCGUAAAACCUGUUGCAUAAAGGCCGUGACCUACUUCGUAAAUAUUUGGAAAAUCUAGGUAUGACGUCAUACAUGAAUGAAAAUAGUGCCGGAUCUCAGCACGAAAUGCAGAAGAAUGGUGACAAUAAUGAAAGCGAUUAAAGUUCCAGUGUACUGAAAUGUGUGAAUCACGUUGUCUGGAUAAGUGGUUCAAAUCACCUUGAAUUGAUAGCGACUUUAGACUACCUUUCGUACUUUUCAAUAUUCAUGCGCCCUCCCACAUCAAGCGGCGGUCGGCUUGGUAAACAACAUCGAUCGUGGCAUCUUGGGAGUGUGGGAUAUUCUAAGAUCAUAGAUAAUUUGCCCUCACUAUGGGUUUCAGUCGAUAUUCUACAUAAAUUUGCAUAGAACUGAGUGCACUGUAUCCGUCUAGAACAGUGCCGUAGCUGCUACUGCCACCUUUCGCCAAUUAAGUAAGCUGAGAUUUGUACACUCGCCGUCCGGUGGUUGCUAGGUAGGACACGAAAGUAAACAACAUUCCAAAGAAGAAUUUCAAGACAAAUGUCCAGCUUGGCUUGCAAGAUCGAACAAGAUCAUCAUUUGGUGGCUGAAAAUGAAGAAUUAAGAUAACCAGGGCCCAGACUAACAAGAAUUUCUAUCCGACUUCGUAGAGGAGUCUUCUGACCACGGCAUUCGGCUGUUCUACAUGAAGGUUGAAGAAUCCCGCUGGGUUCAGCCGACAGAGGGCUCUGAUAAAUCGCCGAUAGAUGGCGGCUGCUACGCCAAGAGUCACUACCUUCGUUGAAAUCGUCCUAUCAGCAGCGUCUUAUCCCGGUGUUGGCGCACUCGGGAAAAGUGAGGCUGUGCAAGCUCAGCAUCAUUUGUUCCCUUUUUUUAAAGCGCUCUUCGUGUUACGAUUACAGUGACAUGUCAAGUUUACGUGGGUCUCCAGCUCAACUUGAAUCGCGGCCGUAUUGGUGCACAGACGUUCUCUGAAUACGUAUGGUACAUACGUGCUAGAAUCUGAGGCGAGUGUGUUUGGAUGUUCACUAAAAUCGUCAACGGAAUGUGGGAACCAGAAAUAAACAUCGACACGGCUGAUA